rnacentral:rRNA from 1 species
UUUUAUGAGAGUUUGAUCCUGGCUCAGGACGAACGCUGGCGGCGUGCCUAAUACAUGCAAGUCGAACGCUUCUUUUUCCACCGGAGCUUGCUCCACCGGAAAAAGAAGAGUGGCGAACGGGUGAGUAACACGUGGGUAACCUGCCCAUCAGAAGGGGAUAACACUUGGAAACAGGUGCUAAUACCGUAUAACAAUCAAAACCGCAUGGUUUUGAUUUGAAAGGCGCUUUCGGGUGUCGCUGAUGGAUGGACCCGCGGUGCAUUAGCUAGUUGGUGAGGUAACGGCUCACCAAGGCC